CCUACGGGAGGCAGCAGUGAGGAAUAUUGGUCAAUGGCCGGAAGGCUGAACCAGCCAAGCCGCGUGAAGGACGAAGGUUCCAAGCAUUGUAAACUUCUUUUGUCAAUGGACAAAAUCAGGCUCGAGAGCCUGACCGACGGUACUUUAAGAAAAAGCAUCGGCUAACUCCGUGCCAGCAGCCGCGGUAAUACGGAGGAUGCGAGCGUGAUCCGGAUUUAUGGGGUUUAAAGGGUGCGUAGGCGGACUGUUAAGUCAGCGGUAAAAGCCCGGGGCUCAACCCCGGCGAGCCGUUGAAACUGGCUGUCUUGAGAUGUCGAGAGGUAUGCGGAAUGCGCAGUGUAGCGGUGAAAUGCUUAGAUAUUGCGCAGAACUCCGAUUGCGAAGGCAGCAUACCGGCGGCGAUCUGACGCUGGGGCACGAAAGCGUGGGUAUCGAACAGGAUUAGAUACCCGAGUAGUC
rnacentral:rRNA from 1 species